rnacentral:rRNA from 1 species
GACGAACGCUGGCGGCGUGCUUAACACAUGCAAGUCGAACGGAAAGGCCCUGCUUUUGUGGGGUGCUCGAGUGGCGAACGGGUGAGUAACACGUGAGUAACCUGCCCUUGACUUUGGGAUAACUUCAGGAAACUGGGGCUAAUACCGGAUAGGAGCUCCUGCUGCAUGGUGGGGGUUGGAAAGUUUCGGCGGUUGGGGAUGGACUCGCGGCUUAUCAGCUUGUUGGUGGGGUAGUGGCUUACCAAGGCUUUGACGGGUAGCCGGCCUGAGAGGGUGACCGGCCACAAUGGGACUGAGAGACGGCCCAGACGCCUACGGGAGGCAGCAGUGGGGAAUAUUGCACAAUGGGCGGAAGCCUGAUGCAGCAACGCCGCGUGCGGGAUGACGGCCUUCGGGUUGUAAACCGCUUUCGCCUGUGACGAAGCGUGAGUGACGGUAAUGGGUAAAGAAGCACCGGCUAACUACGUG